rnacentral:rRNA from 1 species
GAUGAACGCUGGCGGCGUGCCUAAUACAUGCAAGUCGAGCGAACGGACGAGAAGCUUGCUUCUCUGAUGUUAGCGGCGGACGGGUGAGUAACACGUGGAUAACCUACCUAUAAGACUGGGAUAACUUCGGGAAACCGGAUCUAAUACCGGAUAAUAUUGUGAACCGCAUGGUUCAAAAGUGAAAGACGGUCUUGCUGUCACUUAUAGAUGGAUCCGCGCUGCAUUAGCUAGUUGGUAAGGUAACGGCUUACCAAGGCAACGAUGCAUAGCCGACCUGAGAGGGUGAUCGGCCACACUGGAACUGAGACACGGUCCAGACUCCUACGGGAGGCAGCAGUAGGGAAUCUUCCGCAAUGGGCGAAAGCCUGACGGAGCAACGCCGCGUGAGUGAUGAAGGUCUUCGGAUCGUAAAACUCUGUUAUUAGGGAAGAACAUAUGUGUAAGUAACUGUGCACAUCUUGACGGUACCUAAUCAGAAAGCCACGGCUAACUACGUG